UCCGGGGAGAAACAUGAAAAAAGGAGGAGAGGUGGCUUGUGGAGACAUGUCACGUCUCAUGUCAUGAUUUCAGAAGUUACAGAUUUGUCGAUAGCCCUGCCUUCCAAAAGCGGGUCCCGGUUCUCCCCACUUUCUGUGGGGGCCGGACCUAGUUACUCGCUCCUAAUGAGCAGGAUAUGAGCGCAGGUAUGUAGCUUCUGACUCGAGGUCAGGAAAGGCACCGUGGCUUCCUCUUUGCUUUCUCUUGGAUCUUUUGCUUUAGGGGAAAUCAGCUGUCACGGCACGAGGACCCUCAAGCAGCUUGGAGGUCUCCCGACAACACCCGGCAUCUGCCGGGCAGGAGAGUAAGCCACCUUGGCAGCAAACCCUCCCGACCCAGUCGAGCUUUCAACUGAUUGCAUUCUUGGCCUCCUUGUCUGUAACCUCACGAGACCUCCAGAGUGAGAACAAGCUGAAUAUUGAUUUGUAAAACAGUUACUAUGGAAUAAGCUGAAGUACUCCCAAGCUUCCAUAAACCUAGCUUGUAAUUUCUCCCUCAUGCGUUCCCUCAUGGAAAAUUCUGCAAAGCUUGUCCUGGAAGCUGAAGGAAUUGGAGGGCAAACCUCGGUCCUGCCAGGAGCGCCACAUCGACUUAACCAAGAGUAAAACGAAUGACAUUCGACGGUUCAAGGCACAGACACACCAAUUCAAUUACCAGUGGGAACAGACCUUCCAAUUUGUUGAACUGAGAAACAGGCUUGUAGGUGAACAUACAGCUAAUGAGUUCGGGUUCAGCUUUCAACAGCGUGGAUCACUUCAAUCAGAGAAACCUUUCUACAGUCCCAAGCCAUUGCCCUAGGCUGCAUCGUAGACACGACAUGUAUU